AUGCACGCUGGCGGCGUGCCUAAUACAUGCAAGUCGAGCGAACAGACGAGGAGCUUGCUCCUCUGACGUUAGCGGCGGACGGGUGAGUAACACGUGGAUAACCUACCUAUAAGACUGGGAUAACUUCGGGAAACCGGAGCUAAUACCGGAUAAUAUAUUGAACCGCAUGGUUCAAUAGUGAAAGACGGUUUUGCUGUCACUUAUAGAUGGAUCCGCGCCGCAUUAGCUAGUUGGUAAGGUAACGGCUUACCAAGGCAACGAUGCGUAGCCGACCUGAGAGGGUGAUCGGCCACACUGGAACUGAGACACGGUCCAGACUCCUACGGGAGGCAGCAGUAGGGAAUCUUCCGCAAUGGGCGAAAGCCUGACGGAGCAACGCCGCGUGAGUGAUGAAGGUCUUCGGAUCGUAAAACUCUAUUAUUAGGGAAGAACAAAUGUGUAAGUAACUAUGCACGUCUUGACGGUACCUAAUCAGAAAGCCACGGCUAACUACGUG
rnacentral:rRNA from 1 species